CAUGCACACAUGAAUCAUGGCAAACAGAGGUAACAGGACAACUUGCAGACUGGAUUAGGUUCCCUCCUUUUACCAUGUGAGUCAUGGUGACAGAACUCAAGUCGUGAGGUAUGGCAGCAGGUGACCUUACCAUCCCACAAGUACCAACAUAAAGCUUUUAACAUUACAAAGCCCUGCAACUUGUGGCUUGUUCAUGUUCCCAUUUAUUCCCAUAUUCAAUGCAUCAAUUUCUUUUUAGAGGCCAUCUAUUUUCUUAGAGUCUAGAAGACAGUGGAAGUCUGGAAGCCAUUUUUUAAAGCCAUCAGCUCCUCCUCCAUGUCUCCUCCUUCUAAGUACACCUAGUUGGCUAAUGUGUCUCACACAGCUCAAUCAGAACAUUUGCAUAUAAAAUCUUUUACUGUUUUCCUGACAGUGUUGAAUAUGAGGAGAGGUGUUUGCUGGCAGCUGGAGAAAUUUUGAAUCAUAGGAUGCAGACAUCAGGACCCAGCAUUCGGGUGAAUGAUAAGGACAUGAGUCAGAAAGGUGGAGGAACAACUUCACACAGACUGAAGGGAAACUCGGAGGAAGAGAGCACAAACACAUCUAAUGCUGGAGGAGCUGAGCACAGUAAUGACAGGAAUACAUGAGCAUGAAAACACACAGGCAAUCCACGGCAGAAAGAGAACCCACAGAGAAGAAAGAUGUUACGUUAGCCAACACCUAUGGCAAUGGGUCACGACACAAUGCUGAGAUCAAUGCAAAACUUUGAACUGACGUAUUUUGGAAACUGAGUCCAAGAAACAGAAGGAAUGGAAAUGGGAGGGAUAAAAGCCAGUUCAUGGAUCACAUCAAACCUGUUCCUACGGGAGCUGCCAGAGAUCAAUUCUGUUCAGGAGCUUCAAAAACUCAAGAAUGGGAUUCACCACCUCCUAAACUCUGACUCAAGACUCCAUUAUGUUUGCGGGUUUUCACAAGCAUCUGAACCCUAAGUGGAAUUUGCUAAUGCUCAAAUAAUUAUAAAACUCUACAGCAGAACAUGAAGGACAUUCAAUCCAUACAAUUUAACAUGCAAGUAUCACCAUAGCAACUGAGGUCAAAAGAUGGGCAGAAAGGGUCUGAUCCAGAGCAGGUGAGUAUCUAGAAUGACCUGCUCCCUCAGACUACAGAGACCUACAAAUUUUUCACAUUGGACCCACCAAAGACCCGUCUCAAUACUGGUUGUCUGUAGUAUGCAAAACUGACUUAUAUAGUAUUAGUCUCAGCUACUGCAACCUAACACAUUUCAGUAGCUUAUCUUCCUCCUCUAGCACCUAUUCAGAAUUUUCUUUGAGUUUUGGAUUGCUUGGUUAAUGAGAAAAAACUCAUAUUUUUUUCCCAAAAGGAUAUAUCAUUUAGUUGCUUACCCCUGUGGGGACAUGGUUGUUGGCAAUUCUCAUUUACUUUUAUCACUAUGUGUAGAUGCACCAAGACAUGCUCUGCAGGCUUCUUCAAUUUCAGAAGAAUUCCUAGUAGCAAAUGUCUGUUAGCAGUCCCAACUCUCAAUACUAAUCAGAUUCAAUUACUCUAGACAAUGUGGUACAACCUGUUCUAACCCUUAUGCUUUUAGUCAAUUCCUCCUAUAUGUUCAUUCAUGAAGGGUGCUGGCAAGGUGACAGUCCACUGUCCGCUGCAUCGACAUGCAUAUCAAAUUCAUUUCUGAACCACUUGUGCGCUUUUUUAUUUCAUUAUAUGACAGAGACUAUACUUUCCCUUCCAUGAGGCCAUACUGUGAGUUGCAAGCAGGGGAAGAGGGGAUGUUUUACUGGUCCACCUAGUUUAAAAAAAAAAAGUGAUUGGUCCCACUCCUUGCCUGAGCAGUACAGGAGAGUUGGCCCAGGUGGCUUGGAUGCUGACAAACUCAACUACCACCCAUGCCCAGAUUCAGGGAUUUGAGUUGGGCCACCCCAACAUCUAUGAGCUACUGGAGUGUGUGAAGGAGCUGGUCCUGUGGAACCAUAUCUGCAGGAUCUCCAUGUCUCAGGACAACAGCAGAAUAAACAAGAGGAGUCUCUGUGAGGGUCCAGUGUUGAUGGUGUAGAAGAAGCCAGAAGCCUUGAACCAGACCAAUGACUCAUUGCAAUGAACACUUGCAUGUAAAGCUGACUGGGGAAAAGGGUAUACAAUGUGACACUGUAGCUUCCAAUGCCACUAUGACAAAUGAAUAUGUGAUGGAGAUUCAGGAAAGAUAGAGGAGCAGACUGGUACAUGCAUGGCAGAACUGCAGAAGUUGAGUGAAAGUUGUGAGCUACAGUUGAUAGAGGAGCAGGUCAUAUUCAGAAGGGGAAGUUACAAGGGUGGAAGGCAGAUAUGGAAGGACUGGGAAAUGAGCAGGAUUGAGGUUCAUGAUGUGAAAUUCCCAAAGGAUCCAUAAAAAAUUAUGUUUUAAAAAAUUGUGACUGGGCAGGGCAGUGGUGACCCAUGCCUUUAAUCCCAGCACUUGGGAGGCAGAGCCAGGUGGAACUCUGUGAGUUCCAGGCCAGCCUGGUCUACAGAGAGAGAUCCAGGACAGGCACCAAAACUACACAGAGAAACCCUAUCUUGAAAAAAAAAAUUGUGACUGGUGUGGGAAUCUAAACCACACUUUCAUGACAUUCAAUGAUGCCCUCCUAACCUACUAAACCAAACCCAAAUUUUCCAUUUUGGUCACAGUGACAGAUUGUUAUUGCACCUGGCCAUCCUUCUUACUCAGUUGUUAUGACAAAACCAACUUUUUAAUAGGACACAUUUGUUAUAUAGUAGCUUUUUAUGAUUUAAUGCUUUUAAUUAAUCUACAAGUUUCACAUAUAUGUAUUUUUAACAUUACAUGUAUAAAAAGCCAUAUUUAAAUUUGACAUGGUACAGAUAAACAUUUUUCUUUUUAUUAUUAUUACUAUUGAUAUCCCAUGAUCAAACACUCCUACUAGGGACCAGGCAGCCUGCUAGUAACAUUUGUUUUCUAUCAUUUUCUUCCUUUUUCUCUGUCUUCCAGGCUGGCUUCAAACUUUCAGUCCUCACGCCUCAGCUUCCUGAGUGCCUGGAUGACCUUUGCCCCAUUUACCUUGUACAGAUGCAGGGGUCAAGCACUGCUCUAAGAAAUCAGCUCUGACCAGACAUAAGAUGUGUUUUUCACCUUGGUGUUGGAAUUCCCAGUCUCAGAACUAAAGAAAUGAACAUAUACAGUUUCUAAGCUGCUCAGUUUAUGGUAUAUGUGAUGAUACAUUAGUUACUUUUCUAUGACUGUAAAACACCAUGACCAAGACAAUCUAGAAGGAAGUGUUUAUUUGGGUUUUAGUUCUAGAGGGAUAAUUGUCCAUCCCUGUCACAGGAAGAGGCAGGCAUGGCAGCAGGCAUGGUAGUUGGAACAGGAAGCUUACAGCUCACAAUCUAGAACCAUAACCAGGAAGCAGAGAGAGUGAAUUGGAGUAGGGUUAGAUCUUAGGCUCUCAAAGCCUCCCUACCAGUGACCUACUUAGUCCAGCAAGACCAUACCUCCUAAACCUCCCUAAGCAGUUUCAACAACUGGAAAUCAAGUGUUUAAAAGCAUGAGCAUAUGGGGCUCAUGGGGCAUUAUCAUUCAAAUCACUGCUUGUAGCAACAUGAGUAGAACAUGAUAAACUUAAACUCCACAGUUCCUCCUGGAUGAUAAGUUCCAUUUUGGUGGCGCUGGGAACUUGGAGGGUGGUAAGACAAUGACAGAAACCCCACAUUUCCUGUAACAAUGAUUGUCACUCCACAGGUCAGGGAAGCCUGCUGUUUUUGUGUCAUGUUAUAAUUCUGAAUCUUCAUCAAUUUGAUAGUCUGAAGAAUAUCGCAUUAAUUUAAGAUAUUGAUGAAAGCAUAAAUCAAGAAGCGAAAGUGUUGUGUAAUAUCUACUCACCAAAAACAGACCUGAGAGUAGUAGUAUUACCUAUUGGAGAUUCAGGAACACUCAACGGCAAUGAAGAGUGAGGGGUCAAAUAGUCUGAGACAUAUUGUCACUUUCUCUCGGCAGUGACAGACGUAGACAUAUCAAUUAUACAUUCAGGAAACGUGUGAUCAUAGAGUAAGCCCAUGAACUCAGUGAAUCCAUUGUCAGAGAUACUUGGGCCAGGUCUUUGUAUAACCAUUGACAUCUUAUAUUUGAAUCACCAAGUCAGUUUGGACUGUUUGACUUCUGAUUGGAAGGUCAGCUGUAGCAUCUAAUAAUAUUGAAAAAUAUUAAAAGUUUCCUCGUUCUAGGUUAAUGGCUGAUAGUACCUUUGGCAAAAGAUGAGGAAAAUGAUUCUUGUAUUCUUUUUCAAUAGUGCUGCAAGGUUAUUCCUUAAGGGGGCCCUUCUUGAACCUCAGCAAUGAGGUUAGUCAACUGACUAAGCCCUGUAAAAUGGUGGUGUUCUGUCCUAAGAUCUGACUCGAGGCAGCAUUAGUAAGGACGAUUCCCGUAGGUGGUGGGUUGGGCUGAGGGCAAGGGAGGAUGAAGCGGUGGCUUUUGUAACAACAGAAGCACUUUACAGUACAAGGACGGUGGUGACUCUGAAGGCUGUGGGUCUGGUUGGCUUAUAUAAGUGCUUUUAGAGGCUUUGGAAGUAGGAAACAGAAAACCGGUUAAACAACUAAACAAAGAAAGACACAUAAAGGAGACAAUGGGCGACGGCUUACUGCCUGUGGAAGCUUGCUUAUUCAGACCUGAACUUCCUAGCUGACCCUACAAUAGCCCAUGUGGUGUUAAUAUGCUAAAACUGCAUAAAUAAAAAUACCGUAACAGAAAUUAUCGGCCGGUGUCCAUAGUGCUUAUCGCCACGUGGCACCGAUCUGCUUUGGUAGCUAUAGAAGAACGACUGUCAUUACUGGUCUGUGGGCUCAGGUGUCAUGUGUAGAGGUUGGAACUGCAUCUCUGAAGUUAACUUAAGAACAUUGUUCAACAGUUUAUCAAAUCAAUAAAAUGAAAAUGAGUGAUUUUGUGAAAAGCCAUGGUUUAGCAUCUCAGAAUAAGAGUUAAGUGAAGAGAUUAGAUGAGUCUGUUCUUGGGCAACCACCUCUUGGUUUAGGUUUUCUGUGGCAUAUUUUUUAAAAGCACACUAUUGCUGAUUCAGUCUCAGAGUAAAGGGGAUAUCUCCCAAUAUUGGAUGGUGGAAUGCAUGGAAUUUAUUGGUAUUUUCUGUUCAUGUUUGGGACUUGCCUAAAUCUAUCACCUACUUUAAAAAACAGAAUCAACUUUGUUGAUCACUAAAGAGAAGUAUUCAGCUUCUAGAAGACCCCUUAUCACACAGCACUCAGCUAACAUCCAGUAGAGUGACUGUUGGCUA